UUUCCUCCUUCUUGUGGCUGAGUAUUAUUCCACCGUGUAAAUAUACCACAGCUUUUUAUCCACUCAUCUACUGAUGGGAACUUGGUCUGCUUCUAAAU